rnacentral:tRNA from 1 species
AAGGAUUUAAGUUAAACAAACUAGUAACCUUCAAAGUUACCAAUAAAGACCUUAUCCUUUAAGCCUUA